rnacentral:ncRNA from 1 species
UGUCCUGUUGGAUGACGUAAAAAGCCACAACCAACUAAUCAGGUGGGAGCAACCCCGUAAAAAGCGUA